rnacentral:rRNA from 1 species
GUGGGGAAUUUUGGACAAUGGGCGCAAGCCUGAUCCAGCAAUGCCGCGUGCAGGAAGAAGGCCUUCGGGUUGUAAACUGCUUUUGUACGGAACGAAACGGUCCGGGUUAAUACCCUGGGCUAAUGACGGUACCGUAAGAAUAAGCACCGGCUAACUACGUGCCAGCAGCCGCGGUAAUACGUAGGGUGCAAGCGUUAAUCGGAAUUACUGGGCGUAAAGCGUGCGCAGGCGGUUUUGUAAGACAGGCGUGAAAUCCCCGGGCUCAACCUGGGAAUUGCGCUUGUGACUGCAAGGCUGGAGUGCGGCAGAGGGGGAUGGAAUUCCGCGUGUAGCAGUGAAAUGCGUAGAUAUGCGGAGGAACACCGAUGGCGAAGGCAAUCCCCUGGGCCUGCACUGACGCUCAUGCACGAAAGCGUGGGGAGCAAACAGGAUUAGAUACCCUGGUAGGCC